UACAGAGGUGGCCCCCGUUGUCCGGAUUUAUUGGGUGUAAAGGGCAUGUAGGUGGUUCUAUAAGUCAAAGGUGAAAUGGCCCGGCUCAACCAGGUCAUUGCCUUUGAAACUGCAGAACUUGAGUACGGAAGAGGAAAGCGGAAUUCCCAGUGUAGCGGUGAAAUGCGUAGAUAUUGGGAGGAACACCGGUGGCGAAGGCGGCUUUCUGGUCCGAAACUGACACUGAGAUGCGAAAGCCAGGGGAGCAAACGGG
rnacentral:rRNA from 1 species